AUGCGCAGCUGUCGGCCAUGCCGAAAGGAGCCAAAAGUGCCGCGGUCCGAGAGGAGGAAUGGAAGGGGGACGAGGAAGGGAACGGUUGAGAACAUCUUCAGUGCGUUGAGCUUGGAGGACGAGGAAGAGGAGGAGGAGGAGGAAGGAAACCGGCCCCAUAGAAAGAAGGACGAGGAAGAAGAGGAGGAAGAUGGGAGGAAGAAGAAGAACAGGAAGAAUGAAAAGAACUGCAGCAGGCGGCAGAACCAAUUUGCUGCUUUGGGCUCCGACGAAGGGGAGGAAGAAGAAGAGGAAGAAGCCGAAAAACCCGGAAGUCCCGCCCCUAAAAUAGACCCCGCCCCCGGAAGUCCCACCCCCGGAAGUCCAACCCCCAAAGAGGAAGAGGAAGUGGGGGGAAAAAAGGCCCAAAUCAGUAAAAAGGAAAGGAAAAAGAUGAAGAAACAGGUGGGUGGGCGGGACUUCCGGGGGGUGGGACUUCCGGGUGGGCGCGACUUCCGGGUGGGUGGGACUUCCGGGUGGGCGGGACUUCCGGCGGGUGGGAUUUCCGGGUGAGCGCGACUUCCGGGGGUGGGACUUCCGGGAGGGGUUUACUUUAUGGGUGGGACUUCCGGGGGGGUGUGGCAUAUCACCGGAAGUGCAUUGUGUAUAUGACCAAAAGGGGCGUGGCUUAGUACAGAAAGAGAGUUUGACCACGUGUCCGGAAGUGGGCGUGGCUUAAGACAGGAAGUGGUUAUUGCGCAUAGCCGGAAGUGGGCGUGGCUUAUGGAAAAUAACUGGCAGUGUAACCGGAAGUGGGCGUGGCUUAAGACAGAAAGCGACGAGUACAUACCCGGAAGUGGGCGUGACUUACUGCCGGAAAUGAAACCCAACAUAACCGGAAGUGGCGCUGCUUACAACAGGAAGCGGUCGUGCAAAACCGAAAGUGGGCGUGGCUUACGACAGGAAGUGGGCGUGUGUUGGGACCGGAAAUGGUGUCCCACGUGACAGGAAGUAGGCAUAGUGUUAUGCAUACCCGGAAGUGGGCGUGGCUUACGACAGGAAGUGGGCGUCUUGGGACCGGAAAUGGUGUCCCACGUGACAGGAAGUAGACAUAGUGUUGCGCAUAACCGGAAGUGGGUGUGGCUUACGACAGGAAGUGGGCGUGUGUUGGGACCGGAAAUGGUUUCCCACGUGACAGGAAGUAGACAUAGUGUUGUGCGUACCCGGAAGUGGGCGUGGCUUAGGACAGGAAGUAGGAGCCACGUGACAGGAAGCGAGCGUUGCUUACAACAGGAAGUGGGAGUCACGUGACAGGAAGUGGUCCCCCACGUGACAGGAAGUGGGCGUGUCCUGACGUGUCCCCUCCCCCUAUAGCUGGAUUACCAGCGCCAGGUGGCCACGAUGGCGGCGGCCGCGGCCGACAGCGACUUCGCGGUGUCUCAGGCCGACGGGUCCUCGCGGCACGCGGCGCUCGACAACGCCGCC
rnacentral:lncRNA from 1 species